AAUACCAAGGCGCUUGAGAGAACUCGGGUGAAGGAACUAGGCAAAAUGGUGCCGUAACUUCGGGAGAAGGCACGCUGGCGUUAGGUGAGGUCCCUUGCGGACGGAGCUGAAGCCAGCCGAAGAUACCAGGCCCCUGCGACUGUUUAUUAAAAACACAGCACUGUGCAAACACGAAAGUGGACGUAUACGGUGUGACGCCUGCCCGGUGCCGGAAGGUUAAUUGAUGGG
rnacentral:rRNA from 1 species